UGUUACUGACUACAGCAUCUUGAGCUGAAUUAAGACUUCAGAAGUCAUUCGUCAUGUCGAAUGACCAGCGGAUAAACUCUCAGGUGUUUUGUGCCAGAAAUGGAGUGUCCACUGAAGACUGAAGAUACUGAAUCUCUACGCCUUGCCAUUGAUCCCUCUUGUGUCUUCAUCUAGACAAGAGACAUUAACUUAACCACUCUCAUAUGCUCUGUACCUACAUCACCUUCCCUGACAGUCGUAGCUUGGCUCAUCUGAGGGUGAAAUUAUAAGAAUGUGUUAUUUUGCAAAGUGCUCUCUAGGGUUCCUAAAUAAAACAUGGCAUCGAGGUCA